rnacentral:lncRNA from 1 species
AUUAUUUACUUCUUCUUUAAUGUCUAUUUUUUCCAUUUUUAUUUUUUUCAGUAUGAAAAAGUUAUAAUGUGUAAGACGUAAUAACUGUUGUAGAAAAUAUUUAAUAGAAAGUACUUCCAAAUUGCGACCAAAAAAAAAAAGUACUUCCAAACAAUAUAAUAGAAAAAAAUUAUUAAAAAAAAAAGAAGAGUAUGUGAGAUGGUUCUAAAUCGGCUACAUUGUUUAAAAAUCUCUUUGGUACUUGAAACUGGUCGAUAAAUAUGGUUUUUUGAAAAUCUAUUUGGUACUUAAAAAUCAUCAUAUACCCCUAAA